UAGGGAGCGAGCGUUGUCCGGAAUUACUGGGUGUAAAGGGAGCGUAGGCGGGGCUUUAAGUCAGGUGUGAAAACUACGGGCUCAAAUCGUAGACUGCACUUGAAACUGAGGCUCUUGAGUGGAGCAGAGGCAGGCGGAAUUCCCGGUGUAGCGGUGAAAUGCGUAGAUAUCGGGAGGAACAUCAGUGGCGAAGGCGGCCUGCUGGGCUUUUACUGACGCUGAGGCUCGAAAGCGUGGGGAGCAAA
rnacentral:rRNA from 1 species